UGAUACAGGGCUCUUUUGAGUCUUGUAAUUGGAAUGAGUACAAUUUAAAUACCUUAACGAGGAACAAUUGGAGGGGAAGUCUGGUCCAGCCGCGGUAAUUCCAGCUCCAAUAGCGUAUAUUAAAGUUGUUGCAGUUAAAAAGCUCGUAGUUGAACCUUGGGGCCCUGGUUGGCCGGUCCGCCUUCCACCGCGUGCACUGGUCCGACCGGGUCUUUCCUUCUGGGGAGCCGCAUGCCCUUCACUGGGUGUGUCGGGGAACCAGGACUUUUACUUUGAAAAAAAUUAGAGUGUUCAAAGCAGGCCUAUGCUCGAAUACAUUUGCAUGGAAUAAUAGAAAAAAUU
rnacentral:rRNA from 1 species